rnacentral:lncRNA from 1 species
AACAUCGAUCUUGAAUUGUAUGUAGAGUUAAAUGUGUAGAUUUUAAUGGUUCAAAUGAAUCUUUGGCUGGGCUUUGGAGGAGGGAGAGGGAGUGGAAGAAGCGCAUGGGGCGCGACGGGGUCGGGCGGGCGGGAGAGGCGGAGACACUUCUGUAAGGACACCCGAGAGCGGCCGUGUUGCUUCGGUGGUCUCGUCGUUGGUGACCAUGCCGUGCUACUGGGCACGAUCACGAGGAUGCUGGUGUCCAUAGACGGCUAGAUGGGCCAGGCACGAUGGGCGGCCGGGACACAGCCUAAAAAGCCCGACCCUAG